rnacentral:tRNA from 5 species
GGGGAAUUAGCUCAGCUGGGAGAGCACCUGCCUUGCAAGCAGGGGGUCACGAGUUCGAAUCUCGUAUUCUCCA